rnacentral:rRNA from 1 species
GACAGAGGGUGCAAACGUUGUUCGGAAUUACUGGGCGUAAAGGGUUUGUAGGUGGCUCGCUAAGUCAGACGUGAAAUCCCUCAGCUUAACUGGGGAACUGCGUCUGAGACUGGCGAGCUUGAGUGCAGGAGAGGAACGCGGAAUUCCAGGUGUAGCGGUGAAAUGCGUAGAUAUCUGGAGGAACACCGGUGGCGAAGGCGGCGUUCUGGACUGCAACUGACACUGAGGAACGAAAGCCAGGGGAGCAAACGGG